rnacentral:rRNA from 1 species
GUAGUCAUAUGCUUGUCUCAAAGCUUAAGCCAUGCAUGUCUAAGUUCAAGCAAAAAUAACGUGAAACCGCGGAUGGCUCAUUAAAUCAGUUAUGGUUCCUUAGAUCGUACUUACUACUUGGAUAACUGUGGUAAUUCUAGAGCUAAUACAUGCAAAGAGCUCCGACCCUCGUGGAAGGAGUGCUUUUAUUAGAUCAAAGCCAAUCGGAUCUUCGGGUCCGUUCUGUUGGUGACUCUGAAUAACUUUGCUGAUCGCAUGGUCUCGUACCGGCGACGUAUCUUUCAAGUGUCUGCCUAUCAACUGUCGAUGGUAGGUUAUGCGCCUACCAUGGUUGCAACGGGUAACGGGGAAU